UCUUCUCCGACGACUUGAAAUUCAUGGUGGGCCACCUCAAAAUUAUAUCGCAAGUCAUACCACCGAAGAGAGUUUGUCUGCAGGUCCUGCAAUUCUUCGCCACAAAGCUUUACUGGAACCUACAAACACUCCUUUCAAAUCCAAACACCAUCUGGCACUGUCUGUGAAGAGGCUUUGGCAGUAUUUGGUGAAGCAGGAAGAAAUUCAGGAAACCUUUAUCAAAAAUAUAUUCACAAAGAAACGGUGUCUAAAUGAGAUAGAAGCAGAUUUGGGAUAUCCUGGAGGUAAAGCAAGAAUUAUUCAUAAGGAAUCUGAUAUCAUUACUGCAUUUGCUGUUAAUAAGGCAAAUAGAAACUGCAUAGCAAUCGCUUCCAGUCAUGAUGUUCAAGAACUGGAUGUUUCUGGAAUUCUGGCCACACAGGUCUACACUUGGGUAGAUGAUGAUAUAGAAGUGGAAACCAAAGGAUCAGAAGAUUUCUUGGUUAUACAUGCUCGUGAUGAUUUAACAGCUGUUCAAGGUACAACUCCAUAUACACAUAGCAAUCCUGGCACUCCAAUCAACAUGCCAUGGCUUGGUAGUACACAGACUGGCAGAGGAGCAUCUGUGAUGAUUAAGAAAGCCAUUAAUAAUGUUAGAAGAAUGACUUCUCAUCCAACUCUUCCUUACUUUUGGAAUAGUUGAUGCUGAUGGAUAUUUAAGUUUGUAUCAAACAAACUGGAAAUGUUGUCCAGUUACUGGAAGCAUGCCUAAGCCAUACCUG
rnacentral:sRNA from 1 species